UAUAGAAUUUUAUAUUAACUUUACCUAGCGGUUAAUGCUGGUUUUUUGUUAAUAUUUGGUUGGGAGGAUUAUUAAAUUUAACAAACUUUAUAUCAUUAUAAACUUUGAUUUAAGAAAAUAUAAUGAUCUUCAAUUUGAAAUAGUUAGAGUAAAUUACCUUAGGGAUAACAGCGUAAUAUUUUUUUAUAGACCUUAUAGAAAAAAAUGGUUGCGACCUCGAUGUUGAAUUAAGAUAAAUUUUAAAUGCAGGAGUUUAAUAAUUAAGUCU
rnacentral:rRNA from 1 species